rnacentral:rRNA from 1 species
AGAGUUUGAUCAUGGCUCAGAUUGAACGCUGGCGGCAGGCCUAACACAUGCAAGUCGAGCGGUAGCACAGGGGAGCUUGCUCCCUGGGUGACGAGCGGCGGACGGGUGAGUAAUGUCUGGGAAACUGCCUGAUGGAGGGGGAUAACUACUGGAAACGGUAGCUAAUACCGCAUAACGUCGCAAGACCAAAGAGGGGGACCUUCGGGCCUCUUGCCAUCAGAUGUGCCCAGAUGGGAUUAGCUAGUAGGUGGGGUAAUGGCUCACCUAGGCGACGAUCCCUAGCUGGUCUGAGAGGAUGACCAGCCACACUGGAACUGAGACACGGUCCAGACUCCUACGGGAGGCAGCAGUGGGGAAUAUUGCACAAUGGGCGCAAGCCUGAUGCAGCCAUGCCGCGUGUAUGAAGAAGGCCUUCGGGUUGUAAAGUACUUUCAGCGAGGAGGAAGGCAUUAAGGUUAAUAACCUUGUUGAUUGACGUUACUCGCAGAAGAAGCACCGGCUAACUCCGUGCCAGCAGCCGCGGUAAUACGGAGGGUGCAAGCGUUAAUCGGAAUUACUGGGCGUAAAGCGCACGCAGGCGGUCUGUCAAGUCGGAUGUGAAAUCCCCGGGCUCAACCUGGGAACUGCAUUCGAAACUGGCAGGCUAGAGUCUUGUAGAGGGGGGUAGAAUUCCAGGUGUAGCGGUGAAAUGCGUAGAGAUCUGGAGGAAUACCGGUUGCGAAGGCGGCCCCCUGGACAAAGACUGACGCUCAGGUGCGAAGCGUGGGGAGCAAACAGGAUUAAAUACCCUGGUAGUCCCCGCCGUAA